AAUGCCUCACUUCGAAAUUUGACAUUUGUUGAAUUUGUGUCAUGCGAUAAAAAUAUAUACACACAAACACAUAUCUGUGGCUGUGCACGUAGAGAAAACGUUAAUGGAAAUAAAAAAAUUGAAAUUUAAUCAAUGUGUCCAUAAUAAUAAAAUAAAACGUUGAAACAACAAAAAGACAUAAAAUUAUCAUGGCACAUCACAAAAAUUAAUGUUUUGUUAAUUGAGUGUCGUCGUGGGACUUUGCACAAUGGAGUGGAGUUGAAUUGAGGCUGAGCGGCGGCACACAUGUAAAUUCAUAUAAAUAAAUAUUACGAAUGCGCAAAGCGUAUUUUGAAUUUAAUUAA